rnacentral:rRNA from 1 species
GAUUCCCCUAGUAACGGCGAGUGAACAGGGACAAGCCCAUCGCCGAAGCCUGUGUCCGUUUGGUCACUAGGCCAUGUGGUGUUAAGGUUGAACCGCAGUGGCACUGCUCCACCCUAAGUCCAGCAAUGAGUACGGUGGUAUGGACAUGGCCCGCAGAGGGUGAAAGGCCCGUGGGGGUGGAGAUCAGGUACGUCAGUGUCUCUCUGGGUAGACCUUGGAGUCGGGUUGUUUGUGAAUGCAGCCCAAAGUGGGUGGUAAACUCCAUCCAAGGCUAAAUACUGGCACGAGUCCGAUAGCGAACAAGUACCGUGAGGGAAAGUUGAAAAGUACUUUGAAGAGAGAGUAAACAGUGCGUGAAACCGCUCAGAAGUAAACGGGUGGAGUUGAACUGCAAGCACUGGGAAUUCAGACGGUGAGUAUGGCUUAAACUUGGUUAAAUUGGUUGAGCUUGAGAGUCUGUGUAAUGACAGGUCUCUACCCUUGUGGUGGUGGUGCGCGAUGUACUUAUCAUGUGUUGUGCGCUCUCAAUGCUUCGAACCGGCUUGCCGUUGCACUUUCCCAGUGUGAUCACCACGACCGGCAUUGCUGCCUGACUAUUGUGAUCAAACCGGUGUGAUUUAGUCCUCGCGACUUUAUCACAUUGGGGUGGCAGGUGACUCGUUAGUCUAGUGUCUGUGUGAUUCAACGCGGGCAGUAGUCGCUAUUCGAGUGUAAUGAGCCGGUUGCAAUAGUUCUGUGCAGUGUACCGGAGACAGCGGCUUGGUGUGUGUGUGUGUGCGCAACGUUUCAAUCGGCUGGUUCGAGUCUGGUCAUGUUGUUGCCUGUCAAAGCAGGCCUCGUGAUGUCUCGGAUUUGUUCGUUUGAUGGUUGUGCAUACGACACUGUGAAGGGCCAAUAGUCUGUGGUGUAGUGGUAGACUGUCCACCUGACCCGUCUUGAAACACGGACCAAGGAGAGUAACAUGUACGCGAGUCACUGGGCACUACGAAACCCAGGGGCGUAGUGAAAGUAAAGGUCUGGCUUGCUUCUAGUCAGGCUAUGGUGAGAUCCUGCCGUUUCUCACGCGUGGUACCACCAAGCAUAGAGCGGUGGGCGCAUCACCGGCCCGUCUUAUGACAACUGUUUUCGAACAAUAAUCAGUCGGGGUG